AUGAUUCUUAUUGUGGGCUUUAGCCUUUUGUUUUUCUACAAAGGCAUGCUGUGUAAUCAGGUGACCCAGAAUUCUGAAGACCAGACGGUGUUAAGUGGCAGGGAGCUAAUGUUGCUCUGCACUUACGAUGUUAGCUUCUCAAAUCCAGAUUUGUACUGGUACCGAAAAAGGCCAGAGGGGUCCUUUCAGUUUAUCCUUUAUAAGGAUAACACCAGAUCUAAAUAUGCAGGUUUUGCUCAAGGCCGAUUUUUUGUGAAGCACAAUCCGACCCAGAAAACUUUCCACCUGGUGGUGUCCCGAGUGAGUCUGGAAGACAGUGCCACUUACUAUUGUGCUGUGAAUCCCACGGUGAUGCAGGUGCCCAGGAAGUCUGCACACAAACCUCUGGGGAACAGCUCUGCAGAGCUACCUCUURGGGUGGGGGGCACGACCUAG